rnacentral:rRNA from 1 species
UUGUGAACUCGACGAGUAGGGCGGGACACGUGUUAUCCUGUCUGAAUAUGGGGGGACCAUCCUCCAAGGCUAAAUACUCCUGAUUGACCGAUAGUGAACCAGUACCGUGAGGGAAAGGCGAAAAGAACCCCGGCGAGGGGAGUGAAAAAGAACCUGAAACCGUGUACGUACAAGCAGUAGGAGCCUCUUUAUGGGGUGACUGCGUACCUUUUGUAUAAUGGGUCAGCGACUUAUAUUCUGUAGCAAGGUUAACCGUAUAGGGGAGCCGUAGGGAAACCGAGUCUUAACUGGGCGAAUGAGUUGCAGGGUAUAGACCCGAAACCCGGUGAUCUAUCCAUGGGCAGGUUGAAGGUUGGGUAACACUAACUGGAGGACCGAACCGACUAAUGUUGAAAAAUUAGCGGAUGACUUGUGGAUGGGGGUGAAAGGCCAAUCAAACCGGGAGAUAGCUGGUUCUCCCCGAAAGCUAUUUAGGUAGCGCCUCGUGAACUCAUCUUCGGGGGUAGAGCACUGUUUCGACUAGGGGGUCAUCCCGACUUACCAACUCGAUGCAAACUGCGAAUACCGAAGAAUGUUAUCACGGGAGACACACGGCGGGUGCUAACGUCCGUCGUGAAGAGGGAAACAACCCAGACCGCCAGCUAAGGUCCCAAAGUCAUGGUUAAGUGGGAAACGAAGUGGGAAGGCUCAGACAGCCAGGAUGUUGGCUUAGAAGCAGCCAUCAUUUAAAGAAAGCGUAAUAGCUCACUGGUCGAGUCGGCCCGCGCGGAAGAUGUAACGGGGCUAAACCAUGCACCGAAGCUGCGGCAGCGA